rnacentral:lncRNA from 1 species
AUGAGUCGUCAUCUCCUCCUGCAACGAUCUCUCCUUCUUCUAGAUCGUCUUCGGUGUUAGGGUUUGGAGUUUUUUCUGUUGCUAAUUUUUGUGGGUCUUCAACAUCCAUAUUUCUUUUGUUUUUGUUCCUUCAAGUUCUAGGUUAGGUUAUUAUACAAAUAGAGAAAAUGAAAGUUAAUAUACGCGGAUUCAUAACACACAACAGAAACGCCUGAAUUUUUUUUUUUUAAACGUGAAAAAGGUGUAACUUAAUUAGUCAAUUUUUUU